UACGGAGGGUGCAAGCGUUGUCCGGAAUCACUGGGCGUAAAGGGCGCGUAGGCGGCUCAUGAAGGCUGUGGUGAAAGUCCGGGGCUCAACCUCGGAUCGGCCGUGGCGACUCGUGGGCUGGAGCACUGUAGAGGCGGGUGGAAUUCCGGGUGUAGCGGUGAAAUGCGCAGAUAUCAGGAGGAACACCGAUGGCGAAGGCAGCUCGCUGGAACGGUACUGACGCUGAGGCGCGAAAGCGUGGGGAGCGAACAGG
rnacentral:rRNA from 1 species